rnacentral:rRNA from 1 species
UACGGAGGGUGCAAGCGUUAAUCGGAAUUACUGGGCGUAAAGCGCACGCAGGUGGCUGAGUCAGUCGAUUGUGAAAGCCCUGGGCUUAACCUGGGAACCGCGCUUGAGACUGGCAUGCUCGAGUUCGGGAGAGGAUGGUGGAAUUCCCAGUGUAGAGGUGAAAUUCGUAGAUAUUCGGAGGAACACCAGUGGCGAAGGCGGCUUACUGGUCCAUUACUGACGCUGAGGUGCGAAAGCGUGGGGAGCAAACAGG